rnacentral:misc_RNA from 1 species
CGCACAUUGCGCCCCCUGGCAUUCCGGGGGGCAUGCCCGUUCGAGCGUCAUAUAACCUCUCAAGCCUGGCUUGGUAUUGGGCCUCUGGGACGACUCCGGGCCCCAAAUUCGUCGGCUAUCAAUGAGUAAACGGGGAGUACUGUAGCAUGGCGCCGUGAAUGUCGACACAUAUACACGCGCGCGCAGCCCCUGCCUUACGCGUUCGCAACACGAGUUUGACCUCGGAUCGGGUAGGAAUACCCGCUGAACUUAA